GUGGGGAAUUUUGGGCAAUGGGCGAAAGCCUGACCCAGCAACGCCGCGUGAAGGACGAAAUCCCUCUGGGAUGUAAACUUCGAAAGUCAGGAAAGAAAUCGCCACGGAGAAUACCCGUGGUGGAUGACGGUACCUGACGUAAGCCCCGGCUAACUACGUGCCAGCAGCCGCGGUAAUACGUAGGGGGCAAGCGUUGUUCGGAAUUACUGGGCGUAAAGGGCGCGUAGGCGGCACAGCAAGUCGGGAGUGAAAGCCCGGGGCUCAACCCCGGAACUGCUUUCGAAACUGCUGAGCUAGAGUGCGGAAGGGGCAACUGGAAUUCCCAGUGUAGCGGUGAAAUGCGUAGAUAUUGGGAAGAACACCUGAGGCGAAGGCGGGUUGCUGGGCCGACACUGACGCUGAGGCGCGAAAGCCAGGGGAGCAAACGGGAUUAGAAACCCCUGUAGUCC
rnacentral:rRNA from 1 species